GUAUUUCGCUGACGGACACUGUUAUGGGGUGUUUUUUUUACUUUGUCCAGUCACAUCUGUGCGAGAAAGUCCUGAGAGAAGAGGUGGUUUUGGGGCGCGUGUGGGCGGGAAAAGAGUGGGGGAGAGAAGCAGAGAGCGUGGGGUGCUUCUCGGCUGGUGGAUUGGUGCGGAGAGCUCGUGCGGGAUUCUUCUCUGAGGAUGAUGCAGAUUAAAACUGGGCAGCACCGGGAACUGGUCUGAUUUGGGGUUCAGACUGUAGCCUUAGUUAAAUCUAAGCUUCACCGGGGAUUUGCUCGGUUGCCGGACAGUCGCGGAGAGCAGAGUUAAGCUCAGCGAAAUUUAACUGCGCGAGCAGCCGAAGCUAGCGGGACCUCGGUCGGCUUUGGACCGAAACCCUGCCCGGAGUAAUGGACCAUUCAGCUUGCAGGACUGGGGUUUUUCUCAUCGCCCUGGUAGUGUGAGUACUCCUGCCCAGUAAGAGCUCCAACGUGCACUGACUAGCUGGCUUACAGUGUGCCACUCUCUUAGCACAAAACCCGGGGGUUUCUUUUCUCUUCCUGUGGUUUCUUCAUGAGGGAGAACAUUCCGGUAAAUGUGCAUAUUGUUUAAAUGUCCUUUGGUUUUUUUUUGAUUGCUCAGAAGGGGAUGUGACAGCCCGGGGAUACGGGACGGGAACUCACAGUAAAACAAUUUCAUGUUCUCCACCUGAGACGGUGUUUCUUUUUUUUUGGAAGGGGGGAGUUAGUGCUAGUUAUUAAUGGUAAUGGGUGUGUGUGAAAAGGGAGAUAUUGAUGAUAGAGCAGUGAUAUGUGCUACUGUUGAUAUAAAUUUAUACUGUAGCUACUUGGCAGUUUGGUGAAGCGGAACUGAAAUUAUUCAACUGUGAAUACGCCUAUGGUGGGCAGCCCACUCCUGGCCGAUUCUACUCCCCCUGUAUUCUUGUGCCACAGGGGGGUGUUGUUAAUUUUGCAGAGUGGGGAUGGCUACACAAAUAUUGCAUAAAACUGUUACCUACCUUCUGAAAGUAGGAUUAAUAGGUCUAGGGGGAUAGAUAUAGUUUCAAAUCAGUCUUAGGUAGGCAACAGUCCUCACAAAUAGACGUCUGUAUCCGGUCAGUAAGUGUUAUUAGGUAGUUUUGCUUGUUUCUUGACAUUUCUGGCUCCAGGAUUAGCAAUUAGCAGCUGUAAACCAUCAACUUUCGUUACCCUGUCCCUUUGUCUUGGUAAGUAAGAUAGCCGAGCUUAUUUUCAGUUACCAAGCAUAAAGCAUCAACAAUCAUGAAGCAUCAUCCCCUGUGUGAGGACACCGAUGAAGCCUCACGCUCAACUAAGUCGCUCAUUUCUCUCCAUGCACAUUUUCAUCUACAGCUUCCAAUACAUUCCUGUUCUCCAUCACAGACUCAACGCCUAUAUUCACAGGAAGAAACGUAUCCAUGACAUCCUUCGCCUGGUUCCAAUAAUUUGAGCUGACCUCACCUACUCCACCACUGGACUAUGGACCUAUCAGUCGACAGUCAAAAUAGCUGGUUUCCUGCUUGCCCUUGCCACCCACUCAUCAACCACACUCCGGCACUCACAGAAACCUGGAACCUCCCUGACAACAUUGAAAAUACAUCUGCUGUGUCCACCAGCUUCUCUUUCUCCCACACUCCCUGCUACAUUGGGUAGGGAUGGGGGACAGUUUGGCAAAUUUCUAAGCGCUGGACAUUUACUCCUCUCUUCUGCCUGUGCAACAAUUCUACGUGUCAGUGCCACACACCUACUGUUUUUAACCCUGGGCAUUGUCACCAUCUAUCGCCAACCACCAUAUGUCUAUGACAGCAAAACAUGCUCCCAUCAGGCAGCCCUAAUGACAUCUCACUGAACAUCAUCCUCGAGAAACCAGUGGCUGCUCAUUUCCUAGCCCUCCUGGCAUCACUGUUCCUGAACAGACUCUGUACUCCAUCGUCUCAUAAGGCUGGAAACCAACUGGGCCUUGUCCAGACAUCUAACUAUCACAGACAGGUUACUUCUGACCAAUCUACAUGUAUCUCAUCACUUUUUUGAAUUUAUCUUGUUGCUCUCUACAUGUCCUUCUGCCUUCCAUCCUUAGCUCUCCUACCUUAAUCGUUCCCUCUCUUACUUGCUUCUCUACCUUGAUCCCCCCUGCUCUGCCCUUCCCUUCCCUGAACAUUUCAUUUGAUGCAAAUAAGGCCACAGCCACACUCUACUCUAUCCUAAUUUCAAAACUCAAGGACCCCUUCAAGACUUCAUUCUCACCCCUGGCUCUCCAGUGCUCUAUUUGGGUGACAGGAAAAGUUCAGGAUAGCUGAGGUUCAAAGGAGACCAGGUGAAUUUGGAUAAGCAAUCAUCUGUUACUGCUGACAUCACUUCUGCUAAAACUACCUUUUAUCUCCCCAUAUACAUGCAACCUAUUCUUCUCCAUUGACACCAUCCAUUGACACACUGAACCAUCAGAUCCUCUUGUCCACCAUCUUUCAACUUGCCACUAUAGGUUUGGAGUCUAUCUUGGAGAGAAAAGGCAUCCACAUCAAAGUAAUAUGGAGUAAUAUCUGGUGUGCUUCAAGCCUCUUUACUCCUCCUUCUUUCUGUACAGAAGAGAGUUCUGAUCAUCCAGUCUCCUGGCUUCUCCUACCAAUACUACACAGCUGACAUCCAACUCUAUCCAACCUACUCUCCAGAGGACACUCAGUCUCAACUCAGAUUUCUGUGUCCUUGCUGACAUAGCAGAUGGAUUUGCACCUCCAUCUCGUCCUUUUGAAGAUACUUGAUCUUGUCUUCCCUGCCUGAUCUAUCAUUUAACAGGAUAUUACUGUCCAGCUUGGAUCUUCUACAUUGUCUCUCUCAAGGCUUGUUAGGAAUCUACGGUUAAUGACAUAUAACUCACUAACCUCUGCAAAGCACAUCUUCAGAUCUUGGACAUUUACAUCAAAGAAUUCAGACCUUACAACAUCAAGAAUUUUGGACUUUAUCAGAAUAUGCAGCCGAGCUCCUUGUCAAACCACACAUCACCUCUUUACUGACAUGGUUAAUAGCUUGUGCUGAUAAGCCACUGCAGAAGAUUCUAAGCGCAGCAGCAUGUCUGUUAUUCAGUGAGAUUAAAUGCUCUUAUUUUCCAUCUCUCCUUGUCUCUCUUCAUUGGCUGCCUCCAGGAGGUGCUUUCUUUGAGAGCUGUUAAUGGACCUUCAAGUCAGUCAUAUGGACCUCCAUUCCUGAUGGUGCAUAAAGUCCAUCACCGCCAAGACAGACUGUCUCUCUAGCCACCAGCUAUGGGAAAAACUCGACAUCGUCAAACAGAUCAAACAACCGAGAAAGACGCAUCUGGCAAACACAAAUGGCAUUGAAGCUGAACGUGGAUUGGAUUCGGCUUCAGGUAUCAUCUCACUCUCAGGUCUGGUUCCUCUUCACAAAAAGGAAUAGACUGCAAACUCAUCCUACAUUUUAAACAAGCUGUGUCAUUUUAACGAGAUGCCCCAGCCAUUCAGGCCCAUUCAUCAUUGCAGCAAAUAAAAAAAGGCGUCUUUUGGAGUCUUGCUCCUGAGGCUAUCUGGUUUUGAUUUUUCCAGCCCUUCUACAUAAAUUCACAGGAUCCUGGGAGAACUGAUGACCUCCUUGCCAGAAAUAAGUUUUCACCAUUUCUCAAAUAAUUCCUGUCACUGAGGCUAGGUCAUUUGUUAUAUUAAAAAUAAUAAAUAAAAUUUAUUUCUGUGAGGCAAAAACACCUAGUUGUGGUUUCUCAGUGGUUUAUUGUACAAAACUUUCUCCAUUUCUGACACCAUCUUCCAUAAGUUUAAUUACUUUUACUUACACAAAUAUUUACAUUUAAACCACAUUUAAAAUAUAAAAUAUACUGUAUGCGGAUCUGCAGCUUGAAUGCACUCCCUAUCACCACUUAGAUAAGCCCUUUCCCUAAUCUCACCCAAUUCCUCUUCUUCCCCUGCGCUGAUGACACCAAAAUGGUUGUAUUUGGUUUUGUCUACUGUUUUGUUAAACUUACCUAAA